rnacentral:rRNA from 1 species
GACGAACGCUGGCGGCGUGCCUAAUACAUGCAAGUAGAACGCUGAAGGAGGAGCUUGCUUCUCUGGAUGAGUUGCGAACGGGUGAGUAACGCGUAGGUAACCUGCCUGGUAGCGGGGGAUAACUAUUGGAAACGAUAGCUAAUACCGCAUAAGAGUAGAUGUUGCAUGACAUUUGCUUAAAAGGUGCAUUUGCAUCACUACCAGAUGGACCUGCGUUGUAUUAGCUAGUUGGUGGGGUAACGGCUCACCAAGGCGACGAUACAUAGCCGACCUGAGAGGGUGGUCGGCCACACUGGGACUGAGACGCGGCCCAGACUCCUACGGGAGGCAGCAGUAGGGAAUCUGCGGCAAUGGACGGAAGUCUGACCGAGCAACGCCGCGUGAGUGAAGAAGGUUUUCGGAUCGUAAAGCUCUGUUGUAAGAGAAGAACGAGUGUGAGAGUGGAAAGUUCACACUGUGACGGUAUCUGACCAGAAAGGGACGGCUAACUACGUG